UACGUAGGGUGCGAGCGUUGUCCGGAAUUAUUGGGCGUAAAGAGCUCGUAGGCGGUGUGUCGCGUCGGUCGUGAAAACUUGGGGCUUAACUCUGAGCUUGCGGUCGAUACGGGCAUCACUUGAGUUCGGCAGGGGGAGACUGGAAUUCCUGGUGUAGCGGUGAAAUGCGCAGAUAUCGGGAGGAACACCGGUGGCGAAGGCGGUUCUCUGGGCCUUACCUGACGCUGAGGAGCGAAAGCGUGGGGAGCGAACAGG
rnacentral:rRNA from 1 species